UUCAGUCGCACGCAGCGCCUUGCACUCGCGUGCAAUUGAGGCUGAAAUCAUGGUCCAGAGCAGAAUCGCCGAAAAGUGCGCGAGUUGUACGAUACCCCAAGGCAUGCCGCAACCGUGGAGCAACUGUGUUGAUCAGGACCUCGAUCCACGACCUACGCGACGCCAGAGGCGCGUCGCUUGGUAGAGGUAACAUAGGUUUGAAAUGACUUCAUCGAUGUACGAGCGCUGCAAGGGGCAGCGCGAUUCCUGCUUUGCCACCAUCAGCCGCGUAUGCGGCUUGGAUUGGACCCCGAACAAUUCGAGCAAGUUGUGGUGGGCAGCGAUGUGCCGCUGCAGUGGCGGGGCCGCCUGGCUGCCGCGCACGCUGGUGGAAGGACGUGGCCAAAAGGCGGCUGGUCCAUGCAGCGCCCAGACACACGCACUGGGAUAUCAGCAUGGAGAUCUGUUUGAUACGCCAUAUCGGCGGCUUGUCUCAGCAAGCCGAAGACACGUGGGAGAAACUCAAGCAGGGCAAGUUGAAGCACUAGCGACGCAAUGGCCGACGGCAGCUACGACGAGAUGCUGAAAAUGCUGUCUACCGUCAAGUUUUAGGGCUU
rnacentral:sRNA from 1 species